CCAGACUCCUACGGGAGGCAGCAGUGGGGGAUAUUGCACAAUGGGGGGAACCCUGAUGCAGCGACGCCGCGUGAGGGAAGACGGUUUUCGGAUUGUAAACCUCUGUCUUUAGGGACGAAACAAAUGACGGUACCUAAAGAGGAAGCCACGGCUAACUACGUGCCAGCAGCCGCGGUAAUACGUAGGUGGCAAGCGUUGUCCGGAAUUACUGGGUGUAAAGGGAGCGUAGGCGGGAAUGCAAGUUGAAUGUUUAAACUAUGGGCUCAACCCAUAGUCGCGUUCAAAACUGCAUUUCUUGAGUGGAGUAGAGGCAGGCGGAAUUCCUAGUGUAGCGGUGAAAUGCGUAGAUAUUAGGAGGAACACCAGUGGCGAAGGCGGCCUGCUGGGCUCUAACUGACGCUGAGGCUCGAAAGCGUGGGUAGCAAACAGGAUUAGAUACCCGAGUA
rnacentral:rRNA from 1 species